UGUAAUUUAUUUGAAUCCAGUGUUUGAAGGUAUUCUACUUGAACUUCUUGCAGUUUAAUUACAUUUUAAUCAUAUCUGUUCCAUCCUUUCUAGUUUGAAAAUUUUUCUCCUUGGUAGAGAAGACAGAAGCCAACAUUUUUUUUUUCAUAAGUCUUAGUUCUUCCCAUCCAAAAUCCAGACCUUUCUUUCCACUUUCACUAACCCCAGUCUGCUGGGAAACCCUUAUCCAGACUUUCACAAUCAGCCCUUAGCUUUUCUUCCCACCUCCUCUGCUCCUGGCAAGUGAUUACCCAUAUUAUGUCCAGAUUAAGCUCUCAAAUGAUCAACAAUUACUUCCCAUUUCCACCAGAUAAAAUCCAGUCUUUUUGGCCUCCCCUCAAGGCCUUUUGUCAUAUGAUAUUAACCCUUCCUGCCUUGUUCUUGUUGCAGCAAAGUGUGUUACAGCUCAGUGUUAUACGUCAGUUGUGACAGCAACCUGGAUCCAGGCGAGAGACCAAGCAGCACUACGAGGGAUGGAGAACUCAGGUUUAUUAUGCCAGCGGGCCCAAAGGAGUUAACACUCCAAGCUCUAGACCCCAUCUAUAGGUUUACAUAUAGCCUUUUAUAGGCUACCAGUCUAGACUUUGCAACAUUUUGUAACAUCAUAUGCAAAUAAGGUAUAAUAAAGGUGACUGAUUAGGAACAAGCUUUAUAGAAAUGGACCAAUCAGGAGUUAGCUCAGGGAACCAAUAGACUCUUAGGGGUAAGUUCCACUUUCCUAGAAGUAAGCCGUUUCAGAGUUUAAAAAGUGAGAUAAUGCCACUGGGCCAGGGAAGUGGAUGGUGACCGCAGGAGAGUAGUGGCCCUGCCUGGCGGUCCUGCCAGUCUUUUUUCAUGGGGCUUCCUACCUCACUCUCACUGGUCUCCUAUGGAUGAAUAAAACUUGCUACAACCGAGUUAAAUCACCUUCUUUGCUGACUUCUGGCACAGUUUCCCACGUCCGGUCUUGACUCACUCACAAGGAAUGCCCUUCCUGCCCAGCUUGGUCCAAGUAGGUACUUCCUUGAUCAUCAGCCUGCCAGGUUCUCACUCUCUCCUGAGUCCUACAGUAAUACAUUUAUUUUCCCUAAAGUAAACUUGCAUCCCUUUGUGACAUCUCUUCUAGCAUUAUGUUGAACUCUUUUCAGUCUUACUAGGGCAUUUAGCUCUGUUUGUUUUUCUCAACCAGAUCAUAAAACAGUUUGACAAAGUGGAUACCAGAACAGACUCUCAAGCCUUGUGCUUGGUUGGGUUUGAAUCCUCGCUUCAUCUCUUAUGAGCUCCAUGACCUGGACAAGUCACUUCAUUUUACUGGGCCUCAGUUUCCUCUUCUGGAAAAUAGAGGGGCACCAUGAUCUGACCCACAUGAACAGCUACAAGAACAAAGAAUUCCUACAGCCAGAAGUUUGCAACAACCAACCACACCCCUCCCCCUUUUUAGUAUAAAAGGAGCCUGAAUUCUGACUUGAAAGAUGUUUCUCUAGGACAUUAGUCUGCUGUCUUCUCAGUCUACUGGCUUUCCGAAGAAAGUCACCGUUCCUUGCCCUAACACCUCAUCUCCCGAUUUAUUGGCCUGUCAUGCGUUCUCCUUAAAAUGUCAGAAGAUUGGGCACCAUGGGUUCUGCACCUUCCCAGGCCCACCAUCACCUCGAGUGGAGCAGGGGCUUUCCUGCAGCUGAUGGAUGCCCUCCAGCCUCCCACCGUCUUUCAUCCAGCUAUGACGGUGCGUUGUCUGAUUCUGCAGCAGCACCCACUUCUAUCCCACUUGUGUUGUCCCUCAUAUAGCCCCUUUGGAGUUCAAGUGGACCUUCUAUAAUGUCCAUUUAUUCUUGGACCUGAAGUUCUUGGUCUACCUAUGACUAACAGAGUCCUGGACGAGGGCAGUAGGAACAAGUUCCACACAUCAAGGUGCUUACGAUAUAGGACCUAGGAGAUAAGUGCUGGAAAAAUAAGGAGGAAGCAAAAGAAGAAAGAUCCUUUUGAUGUCAUUGAAACCAGCAGUGAGAGAACUGGGAAACUGCCGUGGACCCUGUACUUCCAAGAAUACUGCCCAGGAAAUGUUAUUCGUUAUCUUCAUCCCUUUCCCCAGCUUAGCUCCUGGCCCACCAGAUAAUCUCCUGCUCUUCUCUUCAUAUGCAAAUGACGCAGAAUUGUCUUUAAAAAUUAGAUUGCUUAAAUUUAAUCACUGUCCAAGUGUCUUCCAUUUUAUACUUUCAGGCCCUCUUGCCUCCACUCUCCCUCUCUGGUGGGGCAGUGCAGUGUGCUCAGACUGGGGCCUGACUCUCAAGAUUUGAUUCCAUAAUGAGUGGAAAUCUACAAGCUGUGCCCUCAGGGAGCGCUUGAAGCCCGCUCUCUGCAGCUUCUACACUUUCAGGAGGCACUGGUCACCAAGGAUACCUGGCACUGAAAACAACUGCAGUUUUCAAUGGCAAAUCCUCCAGGAAAAGACUGUGUUUAUAUCUUUCUCAGAUUUUUCUACAAUUUUUAACUCCUUUUUUGAUGUAUUCUCUCCCAAGUUUUUUUCUCUCAUAUGACUUUUACUUAAUAUUAUAUUGUGAACUUUCUUAUUGGAA